UGGGGAAUAUUGCGCAAUGGGCGAAAGCCUGAUCCAGCUACGCCGCGUGGGUGAAGAAGGCCUGCGGGUUGUAAAGCCCUUUCGGUGGGGAAGAAAAGCCUCGUUUUAAUACAGCGGGGUCUUGACGUAACCCAAGAAAGAAGCACCGGCUAACUAUGUGCCAGCAGCCGCGGUAAUACAGAGGGUGCGAGCGUUAAUCGGAAUUACUGGGCGUAAAGCGCGCGUAGGCGGCUUUGCAAGUCGGGUGUGAAAUCCCCAGGCUUAACCUGGGAACUGCAUUCGAGACUGCAUUGCUAGGGUAUGGGAGAGGGAAGUGGAAUUUCAGGUGUAGCGGUGAAAUGCGUAGAUAUCUGAAGGAACAUCAGUGGCGAAAGCGACUUCCUGGACCAAUACUGACGCUCAUGUGCGAAAGCGUGGGGAGCAAA
rnacentral:rRNA from 1 species